rnacentral:lncRNA from 1 species
UUCUCCACACUAACCCCACCAAGUACACAGCCCAACUUUACAGUGUGCCCUUCGCGCCCCACAACCAGGAAGAAAAUAGCUUGGAGGAAAGAGAGGGGUGGUAGAGCCGACCCGAGAGAGGGUGCUGGGCAGCGGGGACAGCCCCCGCCUCAGUGGCCCCAAUUACUGAAGCCGAUCUCCUGCUUGUAUCUAUUGGUGAGGAUGUUGGCUUUUCGGGUGAGUUUGGAGAGCACGGUGUGCAGCCCGCGCAGGUGGUAGUGGAACUGCUGCUCCAGAUCUUCCUCGCCCGCAUCCGCGCUCUCCAAGUGACUCAGGCCCACCAGGAUGUCCUUGGGCUUCCAGGUGCUCUCCUCGCUCCCGGCCGGCGGAGACGAAGGCUGGUGCAGGACUCCCCACUCGAUAUCAUUGCGGAUGGACUUGAGCAGCACGUAGUGGCUGUACAUGUCCCGGGAGGGCGCGAAAAAGCUUUCAUUGGCGCUGCCCGGGCUUGGGGCCGGGGUCGUGCGCUCCUCCAGGCAGCCGCCACUGCCGCCUACCUCCACGCUGACCUCGUCUAUCUCCGGCUCGGACAGGGGUACGUCGCGCAGCAGACUGGGCACCAUCACCGUCUGGUCCAUGUUGUUCACCGCGCCAAUGAAGCGAUUCAUGGCGUUAAAGAGCGAGUGCUUCUGGUUAUAUGUGUCGCAGAUUUGCAUCAUGGUGGCCGAGCGGGCGCGGAAACACAGGGACGCUGGUACACGGAGAUAGACCGCUGGCGAUGCCGCCUUCAAGCGCUCUCAGAGGCUGAUGCCGGGAGCCUGCUUGAAGCCGGUGUGACGGGAUUCCCAGAUCCUUCUCCGCCCUCUCUAACUUGCUUCUUUCUCAGCUCAGCCCUUCGUGAGGCCCGGCUGCUCUUAUCUUUGGCUCAGGAUUGACGGUGGGUGGCUGGGUCUAGCCUUUUUCUGCUUGGGAGACAGAGACGAAAAGAACAAAUUACCCACCCGGUUAGGAUGCCCGGCAUCCGGUCCGCGCGAUGCUCCCACCCUGACCAAGGCUGGCCAGAGAAGGCACAAGGGUGGUUCCUUGGGACCAGCCGGUAUCACCUCCUCCAAUACUAGCAGAAGACCUUUGAAAAAAAAGGAGAAAAAAAUCUCCCCCAUCCCGGACUCUCUGGUUUCUCCCUUCUAAAACCUAAGCGAAAGCAACCAUAUUAGCCCGGGCUGCCAAAGGGCGGGGACACCCACCUCUUGCACUGCGAAAUCCCCUGGUUCUCAGUGCUUGCGUUGCGGACGGUGGCUGCCCAAGGGCGCUGCUGCGGUCACUGAUCGGACUGUGAGUAAGGGCGACUGUGGUUGCUCCGGCCCCCUGCCCAUUCCAGGUGCUCAAUUUAUAGUCCGGGAAAGGUGUCCCAGGCGCCCAGGACCACCCCUGAUGUCUCCUCCUCCUACCUCCUCCAGCAGCACAGAUAAAAGGUCCCAGCCCUGACCGCGAGUAACACUCGCCCAACCCUUUCUACCGCGGGGGCGGGGCACGCCGGGUGGCUCCGCCUCUCGCCUGAUACCCGGGCUAAGGCAGGGCGGCCCAGCAGGGCAAGGCAGGGUAGGGCUGGGAGGAUGGAGCGGCCGCACCCCAGCACCAAACCCAGAACAAGCUGUUUGGGGGAGGGAGGGCGAGGCACUGAGCCCAAGGAGCCGCCGUCCAAACCAGAGGGCGGACUGGCGCGCGCGGGCUGGGCGGGCUUGGCGCGCACUCUCCGGGUGGGAUGACCGGAAUGCUUGUGUGUCCGGGUUGCAAAAGAGCCCCUCAAUCCUGAACCUAGAGUGACUGCAGUCCGGAAAUUUAGCCUCGAUUUAUUAUUAGACGUCGGGUAAGAGGGAUUCACAGCUGCCCUGACUCCAUACUUGGGAAUCUUAUGUAAGAAGAGUUAGCAGGACAUGCCGGAUGCACGUGGACAUGGGGUGCUCCCUCCACGGCCCAGGUCGUGGUCAGCUGCAGGGGGAUGGGAACACUGAGGCAUUUGCUUCCCUCCUGGCGGGGUCUUUCCUACUACUGCUGCCAGGUAUGAAGAGCACCCUGGUCAUCUGAUCUAUAGUUUUGUGUCCCCCACCAAGAGAUAAGAGCAUGGCAAUGGAGUGUGAACUUGGGCCUUGUGGCCCUUUUGGCUAUCAAAAAGACUAGGAGAAGGUGGCAGAAGUUAGGACUGGUGUUGGGUAUAUCUUAUCAUUUAAAGAAAAAAAAUGGGAGUAUACCCAAUAACUUUCUGGAGUGUGUGUCAAGUGCUCCUUUCAAAAGAUAGUUCUUAAGCAAGGGUUACUUAAUAAGCCUAAGCUGUGUACCAUAGCCCUGGAUCUACCUUUCAAGUUUUACACUUGAAACUCCUCUUUCAGGUUCCCAGCCCUGAGCCCAUACUCAUUUCCCAUCUCAUUUCCUUUGCCACAUCCCUCAACCUCCAGUCAGCUCUUCCAUUCCUCCAGAUAAGAUGACUCAGGCUUCUAAUUUUAAAUUUCUUCCCACUAAAGUCUUCGGGGGGAAGUUUUAGUAUGGCAUUCCCCUGCAAGACAAAAAAGCGCCCCAAACAAGGAGAGACACUUAUGCAUGUGGGUUUGUUUGUUUGUUUGUUUUUUCUUGAAGGACUGGUACUGUCUACCGAAAAUCAUGUCUCUUUUCAAUUUUGAAGGGAACAAGAGCUGAUAACAGACAGAAAAGUCAUUGGUAACUCUAGAACCCAGACUGGCAAAUCUCCAUCUCCCUCUGGUUUACUGGUUCUAGAUCAUAACCCAUGCUUCCAAUGCUUUCUUAUGUAUGUAUGUAUGUAUGUAUGUAUGUAUGUAUGUAUGUAUGUAUGGAGACACAGUCCCAGCCAGCCAGCCAGCUUGAUUUGGAACGACAGCUACUCAUCCUUCUGAUUCAGUGUCCCAUGUUCUUUUAAACAUGAAAUAAUGUUUGUUAUCUGCCCCGUGGAGCUAAGGAGAUCAGUGGAAAGAAGAAUGUAGAUGGGAAACAUGCAUUGUGUAAACCUGACACAUAACAAUAACCUCAGCCUUUCUCUUCUUAUGCCCAGAUUUGAAAACUUUUCCACCCUCUGUUUGUCAACAAAAUGGAGUGUCUCCCAUGAGAGAAAAAUUUCCAGUGUUGCUUUAGCAAUAAAAAGGAACUUCUUCUUGGGCU